CUGUUUUAAGUUUGCAAAUUCAAUUUCGUACUACUAGCUACAGGAUGAUUUAUUGUUGCUAAAGAGGUGAUAAAGCAACCGUAAGGUUUAGUAACUUGUGCAUUCGAGAAUAUUUCAAACAUUCUGGUAUUUUAAGCUGUUAGCUGUCAAAUGAAAAAUAUGCUAUUUAGUUAGCGUUAAUAGCAUAUAACCGAUAAGCACGCUAACUUCAAGACAAGUGGAUAGCAGCAUGCAAUGAGAAACAUUAUGCAUGUAGUAGACAUAGCCAUCAUAUCUAUCUUAUUUCAUUUUGAAGCAAAAGUAUGAGGGCCUAAUAGAUUAUUAUGUCGUCAACUUCAUAACGUUAGUGAAUCAAAUUAUUUGUGUCUGCUCUGUCAUGUCUUCCCAGGUGAUGACAGGAGGCUUUGUCAGCCAACUUUUACAUUUGUAUUAUUGUUUCAAUACAUUAUUUUCAUUCUCUGACCUUUCUUUUGCCUUAAUAACUCAAGAAGCAGGUAAGGCUUUCAAUGAAAGGGUGUUAAAAGAGCAGGUGACAUUAUUUAGCAGACACUCUUAUCCAGAGCAAUUAUGGUUAAGUGCCUUGCUCAAGGGCACAUCAACUGAUUUUUCACCUGGUCGGCUGGGGGAUUCAAACCAGCGACCUUUCGGUUACUGGCACCAAAGCUCUUAAUCGGUAGACCACCUGCCUAUAUGACUGCAAUCAAAUCCAAUGUUGUUGUGACUUGGGUGUCACAAAGACAACCUUCUUGUAGUGCUGACAGAGUCAACCAUCUUGGUCCCCACCGCAUCCAAUGGAGGGUGGGGGAAGUGAGGGAGGAGGGGAAGAGGAGAGGAGGGGAACCCCGCCACAGGAGGAGGAGAUGAACAGCCAGGUGGUGCUGACGAGGCAGCAGAGGACUCUGGCGUUACUGUGGUACCUGUGCAGGAGGGUGGAUCAGCAGAGCAGGCUGAGGCGGGGUCUGAUCACCCAGUGUCACAGUCAGGAGACAGUGGUACAGGUGCAGCCUUCAACCCCACCAGCAACUCAGAUAACGGAACGAUACCCUUUCCACCUCACCCCUCAUUGCACCUCUCAGUCCCCAUCUCUGACAGUGAUGGGGACGAGUUACACAGGGCGGCAGAAGAGGAUGAUGGUGCAGAUGAGCUAAUCGUGCUGGACCCCUGAACACCCGCUGAUGAGAAGGUUCCAGACUGCACCUCCAUAAGCAACUGGAGAGACUCAAUGUAGAGUUGCGAGAGAAGAUGGCUAUUUAGACCGCAGGCCCAGCGCCAACAGGCCCAGGAUCAGCUAGAGCGGGUCCGAAGCCAGUACCGCACAAGCCAGGCCGGCAAGCAGAGGUCACACGUGUCCCAGCUGCAGAGUGAGGUAGAGAACCUGGCACUGCGUCUGUUCUACAUGCAGGUGGUUAACACCGACCUGCACUCCGACAUUACGGCCAUGAAGAACACCUCGCGCAAGCCCCACUCCGAGAAGACCCAGGCAGAAACACACCUGAUUCAAGAUCAGCCAAAUGGCAUCAUGUCACCGUCAUCGAGCGCAAGCAGGCCACCAUCAACAUUUACAACAAGAAGAUUGAGCAGCUCGUCGCCAGCACUGGGCACGAGGACCUGGGCCUGUUGGAGAUCUAGGCCAGUAUUCUGACCAAGCAGCUGGAGGGGGUGGGAGGAGAGAUCAAGGAGCAGCAGCAGCUCUGGCUGCGGCAGCAGGGGGAACUAGUGAGACUGAGCCAGGAGAAACAGGCCCGGAUCGCCGCCCUGCUCACACUGCAGGCCCAAUUCACCAUCCUACAGCAGAGGAAAGUCUGCACCGAGAGUACGUAAACACCCGCGGACCCGCACACACACUGACCCAGGAGAAACGGGCUCAGAACACCACUCUGCUCACACUACGGACGCAACUCUCCAUCCGCAACAAGAGUAAAACACACGCACAGUGGAUAUAGAGAGAAAUAUGAUUUAUUUAAGUGUCAUACACCUACCAGUACCCAGCCCACAGGUGGUUCUUUGUGACCCUGACCAAACAAACACACUCCCGUCCCCAAUACACACACCCUAACCCAUGGUCUCCCCCAACACACACCCUAAGCCAUGGUCUCCCCCAACACACACACCCUAAGCCAUGGUCUCCCCACCUCUCCGCUGUCUCCCGUCCAGGUGAGAUGCAACAGGAGCAGCGUGAGCAGGCCGAGAUGGAGAGACACAUGAAGGAGCUGAUGUCGGACAUGUUGAAGCUCAACUUCCUGCUGAUUGAGAGCAGGCAUCUCAACCAGGCCCUGAAGCAGGGCAAUGUCCUGAUGGACAUUGGUCAAACUGGUGUUCAUCAGUCCCCCAGUCAAAUAUGUACAGUACACAUACUGUAUGCUUAAUAUGUGUGUCUAUGUUGCGUGUGUGUCCCCACCCUAACAGCAAAGCGGAGGAGUGUGAGGGUCCCUCAAGAGCUGCAGCACGGCCAGGCCAGUCUGAGCAGCAGUCUGCGGGACAAACAGCUGCAGCUGGGAGAGCUCCACAGAGCCAGAACUGUCCUCACUUUAGACUUCCACUGUCUGCAGGACACCAAAUAGAGGAACCUGGCCCAUCUGGUCUCCCUCCAGGGCCGGGCCAAGCAGCUCCAAGCGGUGCAUGAGGGUCGCUACAGCGCCCUGUCCACCGGUGAAGCCUUGGAGCCUGCGUUGCAGGAGGAGCGUCUGCACACUGUGACCACCAUCCUGCACAGUGUCCAGCAGGAGUUCCCCCAGCACCAAGGGGCGCUACGACGCCUCUCCCUAGCCCUGCCCGCGUGCUUGCUGACACCGCUUGGUCAGGAGACCCACUGACUAUUACAUGACUGAAAACUCCCAUCAUAGGAUCACCCACGGAGUAGAUUGGAGAUAGAGAUCCAUUAUAGUUGUAGGAUUUUACUGCUCUAUGGUGUUCUAUGUUACUCUGACUGUUAGAAUUUGGGAGCUGGACUUGGGGUGGAAGCUCUCCUCCUGGCCUUGAUUGGGCAAUUUAGGUUUUCAGAAUAUUUCAGUUUAUUUUGUUUCAGUUCAUUUUCAGUUGAUAAAAUGAAGAGUUGAUUUAAUAUAUACACGGAAACAUCCUGCCAGCGUGUGAAAAUAAUAUUGUCCAUGGAUAAACUGAAGAUACACAUACAGUAUAUAAACAUUAAAGGCAACAUUUGAUAUU